rnacentral:lncRNA from 1 species
AAGUGGAGCCGUCUUUUCUGCACAGAGUGUGCACUAUCAUCGUAACAGCAGAGACGGAGAGCAAGAUGUGAGGAGGUUAAAAGUCAGGGUCAGAAGUUCAGGUUGCUCUGACCCUCAAAUCAAUUUCAAGCACUGUUUGUGACAUUUUCCUGUGUUCCCUCGCUUGAUGUUAGUCUUUGCAAUGAACCACCGAAUCAGACUUCAGGGCUCAUGGGACUUUGGGGUUUCAGUAGGGUCAGGUCAAUUUCUACCUACCAGUGUACUGUCACCUAUGAGGCAAACCAUUAUCUAGGCGUUUGAGAACCUCAAAGUUUUGAAGCUCUGAGGGGAAAGAGAGAGGAUGAAGCGCUGGGGCCCCUGUGUCUUUGGGGCCUGACAUAGCUCAACCUGUGGCUUCAGGGGGACCGUGUGCAGCCAGGUCACAGUGGUACCGGAAAGGGAUCCUGAUCCAGACCCCAAGAGAGGGUUCUUGGAUCUCGUGCAAGAAAAAAUUCAGGAAUGCCUGACCUCCUCGGAAUGCACCUGAGUAGGACUCAGCCUCAUUUUGCCUAGCCCCUGCUCAAGAUAGAGUCACUCUGGUUGGAAGGCCUUUGGCAAUAGGAUUGGCAACUCAGAGAAAGCUGGUCCCUGGCAUGGGCAUCUCUCCCAAGGCAUUCUUCCAAAGCUGAUGGCACUAAGGCUGAACCCAGAAGCUGCAGCAGUGGACGGAUGAUGAUCUGAAGAAAUGAGAUCCCUGAUGGGCUUGGAAGUCAUGGUUCCUGUAACCAUGAUGUCACACCCUCGUCCUGACACCGAGAUGGGCUGGACACAUCUGUCACCCAGGGCAAACAAAAUGCUUGGUCUGCAUCUUUCAGAAGAAAACUAAAAAUCAAGUAAUUUCUUAGAAGUUUGCUUGCGUGUGGCUUAAGUCUUCUUCUCCUGUUGAGGAAGGUGUUGAGUUUGACCAUGACAGCCCCACCCAGUCCUUGGCUCAUCUCACCCAUCAAAGAGGAUCUGGAGAUUCAGAGCUAUGCCGUGGAAGACCUUGUCAGAGCACCAGGCCAUACUGUGCUGCAGGUGGGGUUCAGGUGCCCAGUGACAACCACCGGGGCCGCUCAUCCCUAAACGUCUGUUGAACUUAAAGUUCUACUCAAGACUUUCUACAUUAAAUACCCUUUCAUACAGCAAAAUCAGCCAUGUUCUGAGAUGUGAAACUGCAGCACAAAGUUACUGUGGUCUCCACCUAUAGAAAUGGAAUGUUACUUCAUAAAGCCCCAGGCCAAAAAAGAAACCCCAAAACUCUGAAACGACACCCUUAAAUUUAACCUGAACAUCUGGCCAGCCUCCUCCAUCAUUGAAACUUCUCCUGAGUGUUGGCAUGGAUCCUAUGUUUCUCCAGCCAGGGAGCUUUGCUCCCCAUUCUUGAUGGACCCACUGAGUCCCAAUUUUCUACAUUUUACUUGGGUCAUUCCACCACUUUGGGAUGCUUUUCCUACUCUGUUGUACUUUAAAAAUGUUUCUUCUUUCCUAUUCUCAGCUUCACGCAUUUGUCUUCUUUCUCAAUUCAACUUGCUUAGUUCUCGCUACAUCAAUUCCUAGAGCCAUCCAUCUGCACUUCUGAAUCAUUUAAGUUUUGUUUGGCUACAAGUAAUGGAAACCCACUCUGAGUAACUCAAGCAAGAACUGGAAUUUAUUGGAAGGACAGUGGGAUAUAUCAUAAGAUCCAAAAAGAAUUGAACAAAUAAAAUUUCAGAGGGAAGAAAAAGGGCAGCUCCAGUGACUUCAGCAACAAGACAACAUAAGUCUUUCUAGAGCAUAGCUACUAAUAUUAUUCAGCUGCAAGAGCCCCUCCCCAUGAGAAACUUGAUUGAAAAUUCUGAUUUCCCACAGAGAAGAAUCUGAUCGACUCAGUUUAGCUUUGGUUGCCCAACUGCUCAAUCUUGCAUGAAUUAUUUCCAGCCAAGGGGACAAGGUGUAUUAUAGGGACACACCUGCUUUCUCCAAAGAAAAGAUCUGGGCAUUUCCUGAUCAUUUCCCUGAGAAGGAGGAAUCAUUGUGAGCCAAGAAGAUACCUCAAGUAUAAUGAGCUCAGUUACACUUUUUUGAUAUCUGAGUAUUUGGUAUGUAGUGUGCAUUUUAAAAAACAUGUCUCUCUCCAGGACAAUGUUAACCUCUUCCACGGUGGAGUGGGGCUAUGUGAUUUUGUGCUUAAUUUACCUAGCUGGUGGGCCUCCAGUAGAGGCUGUAGUCGAGCCAGCUGAUACCACAUCAGUUCUCCAAAGGAACAAAAGCUGCCCUUCCUUCCUUAUUGCAAAGUUUGACAAAAAGCAAAACGUGAAGAAUAAAAGCGACUUGCAUUGUCUAACAUCUACCGCAGUGUUUGAGCUGCAGCUGCUCCUCCUCCCCUGAUUGUUUUCAAAUAUUUCUUCAAAAAAGGCAUUAAAGAAAAACACAAGAUAUUGCACAGGGAACCAAAACAAAUCACAAUCUUCAAGGACAAAGCAUUGCAAAAUGGCUUACAUCCCCAAAUGGGAACAGAUAUGGUUGGAAAUUAAAACAAUCUUUUUUAUUUUAAGCGGAAAUGCUAGCAGAUGCCACAAGAAACAUAUGGAACUCGCCACAGACAAAUAGGGAAUGCUUUCUGCGUGUGGAAGUAGAGCAAAGGGAGUGACCACCUCUGACUGUCAGGGGGAACCAUCAGCUCGAACUGUUUGCUAUGGCAGGAGGGAGUUUGCAGAGUCCGGAGUCCUGCCCUCAUGAAAAAGCUUUAACGGUCUUGACUGAGUAAUUUAAGUCAUUCUUGUCAGGGAGUUUCAGAACACUAUGCACAAUUAUAUUUAUUUCACAAUGCAUUGAUUCCAGAUAUCUUUUUAAAUGUGCUUACCUCUGUGUGCGUUGUUACCUGUUCCCUCUUUGAAUCUCUGAAUGAAACAAAAUAAAUAGGAAAAAAUGGAGACAUAGAAGCAUUGUCCACAAGGCAUCUCCCACUCUAGAGGUCUCCCAGCCCCGUGCUAGCUUGUUAAUUUAUUAUCGCUUGUCUGUCAAACAAGGAAGAUAUAAUUUGCCACACAACAUGUUUUCCUAAAGCAAUGUUUUUGUACAAUUUCCUGAUUUCCAAAAAUAUGACCAAUGAUAUUCUGGUUG